rnacentral:ncRNA from 1 species
UUUGAUAGAGGUGCGGCAGGUCAAUAGUAGCGCUGUUUUAAGUCGGCAGACGGCGGCGUGAAAGGGGCGGCCGCCGAAACGCUGCUUUUGCUGCCGCGGAAGCUCCGUUGGUCUGUUGCAGAAUAUGUAACCGACUGUCACAAAAGUGGAGCGCUAUCGUU